rnacentral:rRNA from 1 species
AGGACGAACGCUGGCGGCGUGCCUAAUACAUGCAAGUCGAGCGGACCUUAGCUUUUGCUUCGGCAAAAGCCUGAGGUCAGCGGCGGACGGGUGAGUAACACGUGGGCAAUCUGCCCGACACACUGGGAUAACGCUUGGAAACGAGUGCUAAUACUGGAUAGUCUUUCGGACUGCAUGGUCUGAAAGGGAAAGACGCGUUUGCGUCAGUGUCGGAUGAGCCCGCGGCGCAUUAGCUAGUUGGUGGGGUAGCGGCCUACCAAGGCAACGAUGCGUAGCCGACCUGAGAGGGUGACCGGCCACACUGGGACUGAGACACGGCCCAGACUCCUACGGGAGGCAGCAGUAGGGAAUCUUCCACAAUGGGCGCAAGCCUGAUGGAGCAACGCCGCGUGAGUGAUGAAGGCCUUCGGGUUGUAAAACUCUGUCAUCCGGGACGAACCGGAGCAAGAGGAAAUGCUUGCUCUUUGACGGUACCGGAGGAGGAAGCCCCGGCUAACUACGUGCCAGCAGCCGCGGUAAUACGUAGGGGGCAAGCGUUGUCCGGAUUCACUGGGCGUAAAGCGCGCGCAGGCGGCGAUGUAAGUCUGGGGUGAAAACCCGGAGCUCAACUCCGGGACUGCCUUGGAUACUGUGUCGCUUGAGGAUAGGAGAGGCAAGGGGAAUUCCACGUGUAGCGGUGAAAUGCGUAGAGAUGUGGAGGAACACCUGUGGCGAAGGCGCCUUGCUGGCCUAUUUCUGACGCUGAGGCGCGAAAGCGUGGGGAGCAAACAGGAUUAGAUACCCUGGUAGUCCACGCCGUAAACGAUGAGUGCUAGGUGUAGGUGGGCUCAUACCCAUCUGUGCCGAAGCUAACGCAUUAAGCACUCCGCCUGGGGAGUACGGUCGCAAGACUGAAACUCAAAGGAAUUGACGGGGGCCCGCACAAGCAGUGGAGCAUGUGGUUUAAUUCGAAGCAACGCGAAGAACCUUACCAGGACUUGACAUCCCAGUGACUGGCUUAGAGAUAAGCCUUCCCUUCGGGGCACUGGUGACAGGUGGUGCAUGGUUGUCGUCAGCUCGUGUCGUGAGAUGUUGGGUUAAGUCCCGCAACGAGCGCAACCCUUACGUUGUGUUGCCAGCAUUCAGUUGGGCACUCACAACGGACUGCCGUCGACAAGACGGAGGAAGGCGGGGAUGACGUCAAAUCAUCAUGCCCCUUAUGUCCUGGGCUACACACGUGCUACAAUGGGCGGUACAACGGGAUGCGAAGCCGCGAGGUGGAGCUAAACCCUGAAAACCGUUCGUAGUUCGGAUUGCAGGCUGCAACUCGCCUGCAUGAAGCCGGAAUUGCUAGUAAUCGCGGAUCAGCAUGCCGCGGUGAAUCCGUUCCCGGGCCUUGUACACACCGCCCGUCACACCACGAGAAUUGGCAACACCCGAAGUCGGUGGGGUAACCGCAAGGAGCUAGCCGCCGAAGGUGGGGUCGAUGAUUGGGGUGA